AACGCGAAGAACCUUACCCAGACUUGACAUUGAUGAAAUCCCUCGGAAAUGAGGGAGUACCCUUCGGGGAUCUGAAAACAGGUGCUGCAUGGCUGUCGUCAGCUCGUGUCGUGAGAUGUUGGGUUAAGUCCCGCAACGAGCGCAACCCUUGUCGUUAGUUGCCAUCGGGUAAAGCCGGGCACUCUAGCGAGACUGCCGGUGUUAAACCGGAGGAAGGUGGGGAUGACGUCAAGUCCUCAUGGCCUUUAUGUCUGGGGCUACACACGUGCUACAAUGGCCACUACAAACCGACGCGAACUCGUAAGGGGAAGCAAAUCGGAAAAAAGUGGUCUCAGUUCGGAUCGGAGUCUGCAACUCGACUUCGUGAAGUCGGAAUCGCUAGUAAUCGUGGAUCAGCAUGCCACGGUGAAUACGUUCCCGGGCCUUGUACACACCGGCUAC
rnacentral:rRNA from 1 species